rnacentral:rRNA from 1 species
GCUACGGGAGGCAGCAGUGAGGAAUAUUGGUCAAUGGCCGGAAGGCUGCACCAGCCAAGCCGCGUGAAGGACGACGGUGCAAAGCAUUGUAACCUUCUUUUGUCAAGGGACAAAAUCAGGCUCGAGAGCCUGACCGAGGGUACUUGAGGAAAAAGCAUCGGCUAACUCCGUUCCAGCACCCGCGGUACUACGGAGGAUUCGACCGUUAGCCGGAUUUAUUGGGUUUAAAGGGUGCGUAGGCGGACUGUUAAGUCAGCGGUAAAAGCCCGGGGCUCAACCCCGGCGAGCCUUUGAAACUGGCUGUCUUGAGAUGUCGAGAGGUAUGCGGAAUGCGCAGUGUAGCGGUGAAAUGCUUAGAUAUUGCGCAGAACUCCGAUUGCGAAGGCAGCAUACCGGCGGCGAUCUGACGCUGAGGCACGAAAGCGUGGGUAUCGAACAGGAUUAGAUACCCGAGUAGUC